UCCGAUAUGGUGUAGUGGCUAACAUCGCUCGCUCUCAACUUCCAGUCGAAGUACCGAGCAGCCCUGGGUUCGAUUCCCAGUAUCGGAG
rfam:Trichoderma atroviride IMI 206040 TRIATcontig_16, whole genome shotgun sequence.